UUCUAGUGAUUGGAAUGAUGGGAAUCCAAACCCCUUUCAGAGUAACAAUUGGAGGGCAAGUCUGGUGCCAGCAGCCGCGGUAAUUCCAGCUCCAAUAGCGUAUAUUGAAGUUGUUGCAGUUAAAAAGCUCGUAGUUGGAUAUCUGCUGGAAGCAAUCAGUCCGCCCCUUUUAUAGGGUUGUGCACUUGAUGAAUUCUGGCGUGAUUCUUAUCUUUACUAAUGGUAAUGAUUAUUAUUAGGUUGAUUUCUAAUGAUAAUGGUUAUUAUUGGGAUAGAUAGCCGUUGCUUUGAGAAAAUUAGAGUGUUUAAUGCACGCUGUUAUUAUGCCUUGAAUACUGCAGCAUGGAAUAACAAUAUAGGAUUUCGGUUCUAUUUUGUUGGUUUCUAGGACUGGAAUAAUGGUUAGUAGGGACAGUUGGGGGCAUUCGUAUUUAACUGCCAGAGGUGAAAUCCUUAGAUUUGUUAAAGACGAACUAAUGCGAUAGCAUUUGCCAAAGAUAUUUUCAUUAAUCAAGAACGAAAGUUAGGGGCUCGAAGACGAUCAGAUAUCGUCGUAGUCUUAACCAUAAACUACGCCGACUGGGGAUAGGAAAAUGUCAUUGCUGACUUCUCCUGCACCUUAUGAGACAUCGAAGUCUUUAGGUUCUGGGGGGAGUAUGGUCGCAAGGCUGAAACCUAAAGGAGUUGACGGAAGGGCACCACCAGGCGUGGAGCCUGCGGCUUAAUUUGACUCAACACGGGGGAACUCACCAGGUCCAGACAUGGGAAGCAUUGACAGAUUGAUAGCUGUUUCUUGAUUCUAUGGGUAGUGGUGCAUGGCCGUUCUUAGUUGGUGGAGUGAUUUGUCUGGAUAAUGCCGUUAACGAACGAGACCUUAACCUGCUAAAUAGGGUCAGGAACACAAACAUUCGCAUCUUAAUGGUGUGAUGUGUGUGUUUUUGUACCACUUCUUAGAGGGACUUUGCGUGUGUAACGCAAGGAAGUUUGAGGCAAUAACAGGU
rnacentral:rRNA from 1 species